AUUGAACGCUGGCGGCAGGCCUAACACAUGCAAGUCGAACGAGUGGCGGACGGGUGAGUAAUGUCUGGGAAACUGCCUGAUGGCGGGGGAUAACUACUGGAAACGGUAGCUAAUACCGCAUACCAUCGGAUGUGCCCAUAUGGGAUUAGCUAGUAGGUGAGGGAAAGGCUCACCUAGGCGACGAUCCCUAGCUGGUCUGAGAGGAUGAUCAGCCACACUGGAACUGGGACACGGCCCAGACUCCUACGGGAGGCAGCAGUGGGGAAUAUUGGACAAUGGGCGCAAGCCUGAUGCAGCCAUGCCGCGUGUAUGAAGAAGGCCUUCGGGUUGUAAAGUACUUUCAGUGGGGAGGCGUUACCCGCAGAAGAAGCACCGGCUAACUCCGUGCCAGCAGCCGCGGUAAUUC
rnacentral:rRNA from 1 species